rnacentral:ncRNA from 1 species
CCCAAUGAUUUAAAGCAUAUCAAUAAGUGGAGGAAAAUAAACUUACAAGGAUUCUUUUAGUAACUGCGAACGAAUCGAGAAUAACCCAGCCUUAGAAUUGGGCGGCUCUGUCAUCCGAAUUAUAGUCUGGAGAAGGUCCUCAAUGGCGGACCAGGACCAAGUCCCCUAGAAGGGGGCACCAGAGAGGGUGAGAACCCCAUUGUGCCCGAACCCAAUCACACCAUGAGGCACUGUCUACGAGUUAGGUUGUUUGGGAAUGCAGCCCAAAUCAGGCAUUGAAUUCUGUCCAAAGGAAAAUAUGGGCAAGAGAUCGAUAGUGAAUAAGUACCACGAAGGAAAGAUUAAAAGGACUUUUAAAAGAGAGCCAAAGAGUUCUUAAGGUUAUCAGGAGAAAAGAGGACGAGGGACGACGAUGCACUUCGGCCAGAUGUGGAAUGGUGUGAGCCGGUCUAUUAAUCAACUCGGGGUGUGCAUCAGGUUGGAUUGGUGGGGUGGCCAUAGCCCAGGCUCUCAAUACGCUCGUGGAAUGCUGUCUCCUCGAUUGUGGCCGGCAGCACGUGCAUCUGGCGUGCUUCGGCACCUGUGAUCUGAAUGCUGGAUUAUGGCUCCCUAUUCAACCCAUCUUGAAACAUGA